AACGAACGCUGGCGGCAUGCCUAACACAUGCAAGUCGAACGAGACCUUCGGGUCUAGUGGCGCACGGGUGCGUAACGCGUGGGAACCUGCCCUUAGGUUCGGAAUAACUCCCCGAAAGGGGUGCUAAUACCGGAUAAUGUCCUCGGACCAAAGAUUUAUCGCCUUUGGAUGGGCCCGCGUUGGAUUAGCUAGUUGGUAGGGUAAAAGCCUACCAAGGCGACGAUCCAUAGCUGGUCUGAGAGUAUGAUCAGCCACACUGGGACUGAGACACGGCCCAGACUCCUACGGGAGGCAGCAGUGGAGAAUAUUGGACAAUGGGCGAAAGCCUGGUCCAGCAAUGCCGGGUAAACGAUGAAGGCCUUAGGGUUGUAAAGCUCUUUUUCCCGGGAUGAUAAUGACAGUACCGGGAGAAUAAGCUCCGGCUAACUCCGUG
rnacentral:rRNA from 1 species